UACGUAGGGUGCGAGCGUUGUCCGGAAUUAUUGGGCGUAAAGGGCUCGUAGGCGGUUUGUCGCGUCGGGAGUGAAAACUCAGGGCUUAACCCUGAGCCUGCUCCCGAUACGGGCAGACUAGAGGUAUGCAGGGGAGAACGGAAUUCCCGGUGUAGCGGUGAAAUGCGCAGAUAUCGGGAAGAACACCCGUGGCGAAGGCGGCUCUCUGGAACGCAACUGACGCUGAGACGCGAAAGCGUGGGGAGCAAACAGG
rnacentral:rRNA from 1 species